UACGUAGGGGGCAAGCGUUGUCCGGAAUCAUUGGGCGUAAAGAGCGUGUAGGCGGCUCGGUAAGUCCGCUGUAAAAGUCCAGGGCUCAACCCUGGAAAGCCGGUGGAAACUGUCAAGCUUGAGUCCGGAAGAGGCGAGUGGAAUUCCUGGUGUAGCGGUGAAAUGCGCAGAUAUCAGGAGGAACACCAAUGGCGAAGGCAGCUCGCUGGGACGGUACUGACGCUGAGACGCGAAAGCGUGGGGAGCAAACAGG
rnacentral:rRNA from 1 species